AUAUGCGCACUUUAUUUACUUUUUCCCCUUUUUUCUUCCCGGUUUAAUAUUUGUUCUCGAAAGUCUUCGUUUCCGUGUAAAAGCAAACUCUCCAAAUUGUUAACCAAGCAAGGUCGCUUACAACACUAACGGAACACUUUCUCAAUCUAUAAACUGUAAAGAUGCGAUGAGAUAUGAUAGAAGAUGUUCUCUAUAUACAACACUAUUUCAAAGAAAUUCAAUUGCUUGCUAGGGAUAAAUCCCAGACCGAGGAGUGUAGCAUUUUGGCGUUAGCUAUUCCCUCUUUUACUGGCAUAUAUCCAGCUACAUGCUCGCUCAACUCAAGCCUCCUUCUUAUUCUGCUUCAAGUUCUGAUUUGGCUUCUUCUACUACUGAUGCGGAUAAUGCUUCUUCUUUGCCUACUAAAGCUGCUAAGCAAAAGUCCCUCCUUUCACUUUCAUCUGAUAUUAAGCUAGCAACUGACUCACCAACGGAUUCAGGAACCGAAACUGCAACAGGAACAGAAACUUCUGCAGCUUACCUUAGUGCGGAUUCAGCAACGAAUUCCGCACCUUCUCCGUCCCUAUAGUCUCUCUCAUCGGUGGUCCCGGUCCCUAAUCGGAACUAUUUCUUCUUUAUCUUCGGCUGAUUAAGCUUUUUCUGCGGAUUCACCAACAGAUUCAGAAACUUAUUCUGUUGAUGCUGCUACUGCCGAUUCUGAUUCCUCUUCUUCUGCUUCUUCCGGAGAGAGGGAGACUAGAAGAGCUUACCUCUGGCACCGGGCUUUCUUUCUAUCUUCUGGCUGGAAUUUCCGAGCUUUUGAAAUAAUAGCUGUGGCACUCUCUUUCUUCCAUAGAGAAGGAACUUAUCCUUAGACUUUUGGAGCGGUUUGGACCUGUACUAGUCCGAGAAGUGAGAGCACCAGGUUGGAAGAUGCUGGUUCGAGAGGACCUGGAAGAAUGCUAGUAAGAAGGAGGCUAGUUUGCUAGGUUGUAGAUCUUCUCCCUUAUUCUUUAUAGAGGAAUCCCCUAAAUUCAAAUAAGAUCUUUCUCUGCGUCGUCAAAAGCCUAAUUGAGACAAAUCAGCUCUUACAGUUCUCCGGUCUUUGCUCUUGAAGAUCCGCUCUUGAGAACCUCUAUCUCUUUCUUUCUUCAAAGCCUCAUUCGAAGCCAGUCAGUCUUACAGUAUAUUACCCGCAAGUUCAUCUUCUUUGAUUGCAUUAAUUUCCUAUCCUUCCCGCUCUAGUUCGACUAGCUGUUAAUGCCCUAUCUUUCUUCUCUACUGCCUUUAGCUAUCGCUUUUCGGCUGAAUAAUUUUGAGAUCUGGCAUUCUCGCUAAGUGCCCCUAUUUAGUUAUUUAGUAAGGCGCCCUCUCUUUACCUUUACGCGAAUUGGGUAUUACCGCGAAUAAGUCCUCACAACAAAGGUUAAGUGCUUGAGAUCAUAACUGCUUACAGCAGCGCUCCCGGCGCGAGACUCUUUCCCCUAGAAUGAAUUCGGUAAGGAAGGAUAGAGCCUCAUGGCUUAUGGCAGCAGGUCGAAGAACAACUCUUGAAUGGGCGGUUCCGAAGCAGCUCCACAGCAUGCACUGUUAACGCUCUGAAACCCUAAAAAAUCCAAACAACGUUUAACGAGCAAGAAAUUAACAAGCUUCAAAGCAUUAAAAACAGGAUCUUAUUUGAGAAGAUUAUUCCAGACUCCGCAUAAUUCACUCCAUGGAUCGAGCCUUUUCCUUUCUACUACUAUUAUCUUAGUUAUUUAUAUUAGAGUGGAGUGCUUUCUUUAUGAAAUAGCGCAUACUUGAUAAAGACAACUAGCAUUAAAGAGCUUAGUAGUCGUCUCCGGUUUCCCUUUCUUUUUAGUUUGAGGUUCUUCUUGAAUCCCGGAGAAGAACAACUAGACAAGAGAAUCCGUGCUAGCCUCCUGCGGACCCUGACUUACCUGACAGCUAUCAAUCAUGAACUAGCAGGACGGACUGCCUUUGAAGCCGGUAUUGUUUAUAUAAAUGAGAAUAAUAACAACUCGCUAUCCGUGCUUCCUUUCUAUCACUACUAAAAUUCUUAACUCACUCCCUUGCUAUAGCUUGCCUUACUUGAUAGCUUCGCUUGUUUACAGGUACAGGAUCGGUCGCUAAGCUCCCUCUUCAUAUCUGUGGGGCCAAUAGUAGGUAGUACUUUUUCUUUCUUUGUUCUUUGUGCGAGUUCAGUGCUUCUCUGAUUCAUAGUGGGACCCGCUGUUCAUUAAUAGGGGUUCUUCCGGAACUGCUUGUAGAAGAAAGAAGAUCAGGCAGUUUACUGCUAAAUGGGGCAGGCGAAUAGACGACCUACUAAAGACAGAUCGUCAGUGGGGCUAUGAACGGAGCUUAGCCAUACCACAGGGGUCGCUCUGAGACCUCUUGUCGAGUGGCCUUUCGCUCCCGGGACAGUGCCUUUCAGCUCCUUGCGCCUAUUGGGACGCUUCUAUUCUGACUUUCCCGCUUCAAACGGCCGAUGGGAACUUAGAUGAGUCUCGGAACUCAUUUCCCUCAGUCUUAGGACCAAGGGCUUUUUAACCACCGAAUACGAGAAAAUGUGCGUGAGAUUGAUUGGCGGGGUGCUGAUUCAAGAGUGCGGGCAACUACUUUACUAUACCUGCCCCAUAGGGCCACGGGUGAUCGCAUUUUCGAGUGAUUCAAUAUACUCUAAUAAUUAAUUCGUUUUAAAUCUGAAAUCACAAUUAGUUUUCAACUGAUUAAAGACUUCAUCCAACCUCAAUUUAUUUUUUCUCUUCUCUUAAUUUCUAACAAGAAACAGGCAUAAAAGAGGAAGAGCUGGUAGGCUACCCAACAGAGGUAAAGAAGCACUAACGAGGUGCUAACGGUCUAUUCUUACUCUCUCUCAGCAGCAAGACCAUAGAAUAGGAGAACCACUAGAUCCGCUGCAAUCCCAGUUGCCAGUUGACUCAACAAAGAAUCUACUUUGUUUGCUUUGGUGCUUUCUUUUAUGCCCUUCCUCGGGAUAUUACCACCAAACCGGAUAUCGUGAUCUUGGAUCUAGGUACUUGACUUCCCCCUCUUCCUAUGUAUGGGGCGAGUAGCCUAGCCCAUCUCCUCAGACCAGACUGAGCUGAAUUGCCAAUCCUUUGAGCCGCUUCGCUCCUUGGGAUGCCUUACCUUAGGGAAUCUCAGAGGUGAAAGACUUGGUUCUCGGAAAGUCUAAACCCUUAGAAAUUGACAUGACAAUCCAGAAUUUGAGACAAAUUAUCAAGAAUUGCAUUUAAAAAAAGCAAUAACCCCGCCCUGCUCAGCAGUUCCCUACUCAGGAUCUGGGAAAGGUUACCCGAAAUAGGUCCUUAGGGAAGGAUGCUGAUCGAAGAUGGGGUGCCUCCGCUAGAAUGGGAGGGUCCUUCCCCAGAGGGGGCCCCGGGCUCAGAAGAGGCUCAUUUAUGAUAUGCUAAUCAAAUUGGUACUCGUGCGGAAGCAUUUCCCCUAUCAUAGAAAGUGUGAAGCAGGCGAACCCUAUGGGUCUUUAAAGCUAAAAAGCAAAGACAAAGGGCAGAGGGGGACUUAUCGAUAGUCCAAAACUAGUGAUCUAGGCUGCUUUUCUCCAGCAAAGAAUCAACGCAUUGGCAUGCCAAGUAGACUACAAUUUGUGGCACCAUAUCCUACCUAUCCCGAAGGGAAGUCUCAAAAGUGGGAUCGUAAAUUGUUUUAACUCACUCAGUCUCCGACGAAGAGAAGAAGGUUCAGCCGAAGCUAGAGCUCGGAAGGGCGGCUGGGUGGACAUAGAUAUGCAAGAUCGUCUUACCUUACAAGGAUUGGACUUCAGCCGUAAAACAAGGUCUGGGGCUUGAGUUCCAAGGUCCACUUCUGGGCAUGUGGAUAAGCCGAAUCUUAAACUCCUGGAAGGCUUUACUACCCGUGGGGAACUACUCCCUGAAAAGAGCUCUUGCGAACGCUACUCCCACUCGCUAAGCAAAUGUUCUAGAUCCAGCUAUCUGAAAGCAUGACAGGCCAGCUACGCCGGCAUACGCAGGAAUUAAAUAGAUCGAUGAUGGCACCUUUGAUCCCUUGUGGUACUCAUCUGGCUGCCCCUUUUUGGAAUGGGAUUUCUCGCUUGUUCUGUUCAAACCAACUUGUGGAACAAGAAUUCCAAGAAUUAGACCACCUUAUUGGGAGGAAUCCUUCUCUCAAAGGAAUUUAUUCCCUUCCUUUAAAGAGAUAGAGUAUCCUUUCCUAAGCUAAGGACUAUUUUUUAUUUUUAGGGGGAAGGAUGCAGCCGCAGCGGUGGACUGCGCCAAAGAGAAAAGACGUAACAAGGUAUUCAGACCACACUUCACACAAACCAACUGAACGUUUCCCAAGAGCUAGUGCUCUGAUACCAUGAAAGAGUUGAAAAUACGAAUUGGGUGAACAUUGAACAAGGCAAAGUAAUGGUCUAUUCAUCCCCCAGCAGUUCCUUUCCCAUUCAACAUUCAUUCAAAGUAUUCUCCCCUUGCCAUGCUUCAACCAGCAGCUGCUUUGCGGACUGCUCUUGCUCUUACUGCUGCUUCCUAUGCUUCCUGCUUCUGACUACCUGCCUUUCCCUCACCGUCACUGUCUUCCCUACCAGAUCAGGUUUUCCCAGACGCGAGUCGAGUCAUUCAUCUUCUUCAUCAGGCUUCCUUCUCGCAGUCGAAGCGGUAGCGGUACUGGAACGAGUUCCCUAUUCGAUAUGGUUUCAUUCCACCAGUCCCCUAACAUAGAUAGCACAGGGUCGGCUUCACUUCGGAACCUUUUCUUGCUUUCCUUCCGUGGGCAUGAAAUGAACCCUGAGGUUACUCUGUCCCUGGCAUCCCUUUCUGCCCCCCAACUUUAUUCACUUCGCGGUAAACGGAGACUUUCCAAUAGCCAGCAGGUCAAAGCCUUUUUUGGGGUCCAAGGGUGCCGCCCCCUACUACCCAAUUCCUGUCUUCGGAACUACGGGGAUAGGUGACUUUCUGCGAUGGCCCUCCACCUCGUUGGGAAAAGUGAAAGGAAAUAACAAGCCCUAAACUAAAAACCAACUAGCAGCUUAUCAACCACCGAAGACAGACUCAUGUUGGCGAUGCCAUGGUCAAGUAAGAGAACGACCCAUUCAUCCAAAGUAGUAUUUUAGUAUAGAACAGAGGCAUUCUGAGCCGACUACUACGACUACAUGCGCAUCUAGUGCAGUGGCUUGGAAGCAAGCUACCUUGACCAUCUUCCGAACUUAUCCAGAAUUUACUGAUCAAACGCAGUAGGGGUGGACUGCUCUACAUUCAGCCACGCCACAGUGACCCCCGAAGCGAUCUUCUUAUAGUUGCGGGACGAAAUCCGGCAGCCAAUUGCUGGCUCUGAAUAACCAGCCCGGUAAUAAGUUCAAUUCUUCCAUAACAUAACGGGGCGGGGUUGCGCGCGAGCCGAGUGACGGAGGUGCACAAGAGUACUUCGCGCCACAACCAUCUCUUUUUUAGAAGUUCUACGGACCGAUGCCUGCUGCUUCAUCUGGGAGAAAAGAAUCAUAGAUAUGCCGGUCAUUAGAAGGAAGAACCGCCAUAAAAAGAUUCCUCGUGUAUCAUCUGUAGCAAAACUAUGAACGGAAGCUAGCAAUCCGGACCGUAUUGAAAAGGUUCCUGAGACACAGCAUGGAAGAGUCACAAUAUUAAGAAACGAGAUCCAAGAAUGAAGAAGGGGUAGAAUUACGGAAUGAAUACGAGCUGUGGCUAAUACCCAAGGCAUAAAAGAAGCAUUUUCUACGGGAUCCCGAAACCACCAGCCACCCCGACCUAAUUCAUGAUGAGCCCACCAACUUCCUGGCAUGAUGCCCACGGUUAAAAACCACCGACAUGUCAAGAUCCAAAUUCGAAUCUGUUUCUGGUCCUGGUCAGAUACCACUGUGUUCGCGCCGGCGCUCCAACAAAGAGGCGAAGUAGUGGUAUCUUUCUGUUCAUUACGAACGACACGCUUCGCCUGCUCCCCCCCCGUGUCCACUAGCGCUCCUGUCCAGAGCGAAGAGAAGGCGAAAAAGCGCCGCCAAAGCAGCAUGAGCAGGCUUCUAUUGCUACGCAACAAGAGAGCUGGAUAGCAUUUUGCGACCACAUGUUUGAAUUUUUUGGUAAAAAGCUCGCUUGUUAUACGGGAUCCGACGCAUCCAGCAGAGCGAAGCAGCGUUCCCUUCUUUUCGGCGGCAUCCUUCCGCAUUGGCGGCGAGUGGAGUGCCACAAUCCCAUUCAUCAUUUUUGAUCUACAUAAUCCAAAUCCCAUAGCACUGGCGACGUCUCCGGCAUAAAUGCAAGGAGGAUGUAUAGCUGAUAUAGGAUCUUGUGGAACAGGAUUUGAUUCUGCAAGCGGUUCGGUACGAACGAAGAAAUUUCGAACAAAAGGAUCGGAACUCGCUGAUAGGAAAGGAGAGAAAAACAAAGCAAUGCCAAGAGCUCCGUCAAUCCGCUGUUCAUCGAUAGACGAAGCUCUCUCUUUAUCAUCUCGUGCCAGAUGCAACAAAGGAUGAGUCCUUCUUUUUCCUUCUCGCGAACCACGGGAGCGCCUAGCACCCAGAGGAGCUAAGCUCAUUUUCCUUUCAGGGUAAAGCGGCGCAUAAAAAAGGGCUGGCCCGUCAAACGUCCGGUUCCUUCGCGAACGAAGUUCAGAAUCAACAAGGGUUCGUAGAACGAAGGGAGUGUACAACUGGGGCGCAGCCCCACUUUUUUGUUCGUAACGAGGGAGAGAUAGAAUGGAGUUCUUCACGAAGUUCGAGACAAAGUAAUACAAAACUUCUCUAUGGCCUCCUCGUUUUGAGACAUUAUGGCUUUGGGGUCGACCCCGGUAACAAAGAAGGAAUCCAUAAAAACGUGGGAUCCGACACCAUGAUAAAAUACUACCCUCAUGAUUAGACCAUGUCCCUGAGAUUUGAUAAAAGAAAGGUGCAUUAGCGGUUAAUACGUUGUAAUUGGAUAAGUUAUUAGGAAUAUGACGGAACGAAAGACCAAGGAAAGAAAGAAGAAUGCACCAAAAUGCAGGUGCUGCACCAAACGCUGGUGGUUGUUUCUUGUUGUAAGUGAAUGCAACGAAAAGACCCGGAAAUAACGAUAAAUGAAAGAAUUCAUAAAUUAUUGACAUUUCGUGCUGUGCUCAUUUCAAAAUUUCUGCUUUGUCCCAUCAUCCGGUAACCACAGGACAGGAUGAUCCACAAGAAAGGUGGCAGGAUUCGAACCUAUGGCCGGCCCGCCCCUGACCUGCUGGGUUGGGUGGCCGGGUUAGCACCCCUCGUCGCCCCUGUACCCGAAACAGAUGCGCUGCGCUACCCAGCGCGUAACCUUGUCUCCCCCUACUCCUCUUCUGGUUAUGCCAUUACCAAUCGCGGGUAACCCCCGGGCCGGCCGCCCCUGACCUAAUCAGAUAAGAACUAUUAUCCUUAUGACCAAACAGCGAUAGUUUCACGAUCCCGACCAGCAACUUGUUGGGAGUAGGGGCAUCCAAGCUUGCCCAACCUAGACAUUGUAACUGAAAGUCCUGCCUACUUGUAGGCUUAGGGUAGUCCUCGAAAACCUUCUUCUUUUACUGGCUUGGGAAAGACCCGUAGGCUAUGGAUCCCACUAAUGGAAUGGGACUAUAACCAUACUUCCAUGGUCUAGGUUCAAGGACAAUCAAGAUGGAGGCUUGGAGUAUCUAAGGCUUCAUGGACCCAAUUUUUAGGGCUUUUAAGGACGGACUCGCUAGUGUCCCAAGGAUUGACCGGUGACACUACUAACUGAAUUGCCCUAAUAUAUGUAUUUUUCCACAGGACUGAAUCCAUAGAAACCUUGGCUUAGUGCCAUUACUGUAAGCGGCGGAUGAUUGGUAUGCAGGAUCGGUUGCAACGGUUUCACAUGAAUGUGAAUCAAGAGAUUGGCUUGAAUUGAAAGGCUUUCCAACUAGCCAUUGUACCUGAGAUUGCGAUAAGUCCUUCUUCUUCUUUGGAGCUUGUUCUUGGUCCCAAGGGAAACGGGGUGACAAAGAGCAGCUUGCUUCUCCAAUUGGAUCAUUGCUCGACUCGAUGGGUAACUUCUAGUGGUUUGCCGGGGAAGCUCUUGUUUUUCUUUCAGGAGUUGGUUGGUGGCAUGGACACCUAGCCUUUUCUUAUUUUUAGUAUUUGUUUGCUGGCACAGGUAGUAGAUUCAUUCUCCACUCCAGCAGUAGCAGAUGUAGAAUCUGAAAGGUGGGAUUCCCGGUUGAUUGGAUGCUUCCGUUAGAGCUUCUUCCCCUCCUGUCAUUUAAGGGCACCUAGCUUACAAUCACUAGUGAAAGAGUGCCAAUUGACCCAACUAGCGAAUCUGUUUACAACCAUUCCAUCUUUUUCAUUUCCGUGAAUACCGCUCGAAAGCAGUCAUUUUUCGGCUUGAUAGCACUAGCACGAUCCAUCCAUCUCCCUCCGGAGAGUGAGUAAGAGGUGGAAGGACUGUCGAUAGCAGGUAGGGUAAACGGAUAUGGAUGAUAGUUGGGAUCCCAGGUAGGAGAGCCAGCCAGGAGAAAGAGGUAGUCAAAGACUACCCUUCUUUUUUUGGGAGUUGGUUCUGGAAUUCCAUGGAGAGUUGCCACUCCUCAAUCUUCGAAAUCUAGUCUAGUCCAGCGAUAGAGGACUUGAUACUUAUGACAAGCCUCGAUCUUGAAGACAGAUUCUCUUAUCGGCUGAGGAAAUAGGUAGCCGCCCACCCAUUCUUCCUUUCCGACCUUAGCUUAGCUGCUCACGCCAAUGCUCAUGGGUAUGGGGCCAUAACUGCUGCUACUGUUAUACUCCCACACUCUAAGAGAGUCCUACCGUCGGCUCAUCUUCUAUCUAAGACCUCCUCAAUGAGAGGAUGCCUGAAAGUCUUUUCUCAGGUCUAGUUGCGGUCCGCUCUUUUCUUUCACUUAUUGGUACACUUCACUCCUCUCCCAGCAAGAGGAUGCGCGAACCAUUGUUCCAAAGAUCGGAGAAUCUAGGGAACCGGAAAAGCGAAACCUUGUCAGGAAGAAAGUGAAGCAGGUUUCUUUGGUGGGCCAACAAGGCAAGGCCCUGAAAAGCAAAGAUUUUAGAUGAUAAGGCAGAGGCAAAGCAGGCACAUCAAAAACUUUAUUCGGUUAGUUAAAAGUCUGAAAAUGACCUGUUGACUAUCUUGUUAGUCUUCCGGUAGGAAUACCUAAAAUCUUUCAUGAUGAGCGCCAAAGACUCAAAAGCUCACGCGCGAUCUACUGAUCAAAUAGAGCAUCAUCACGUUCGGAGAGGAGACAGGCUUUCUCCCCAAAGCAUAUGAUUGCUUGUUCGCCAUAGCUGAUCACACUGUGACGCUGAGCACUUCGGAUAAAGCAAGAUUCGAAACUUUAGUUAGGGUCAUCGUUUCAUCCGCCCUUCCACUUUAACUUCCACUUCUUGAGCUGACCCAGCCUGAGUAAAGGCCAUUAAGGACCUCGAGCCGACUCUCGUCUGCGAGGUUCGUGUGUCAAGCAAGUUUUUAAAGAGGGUUCCUAGUUGUCUUAGUUUGAAGUGAGAGCCCGAAUAUACUCUUUUCGCUCACCAACUAAAGGAUUUACCUCUUUUUUUUGUUUAGCUUCAGGGGGGGAAGACUUUCUCUCCUUUAUCGAUGCUCUUUUUGUCACGUGGGCGCACUGAUUAAAUGAGACCACCAAGGCCCCUAGGUAAGACGACAUACAUAAAAAAGUAGAACGAGAUGAUCUCGAAGUUCUAAAUCCAUAAUAAAAGGAGAAUCUUCUUAUCCAGAUAAGUACGUAGAGUGAAAAAGGAAAAAGCUCUACGUGCUUUGCUUAGAAGGUUGUUCAAUUACAUGGCUGCCUUUUGGGAGAUAGACUUGCACAGAAAGCUAUCUAACUAGAGUCUAGAGCUCCUCUAGGCCCAAUAGACUGAAAGCAAGGAACUUCACUCAAAGCUGGGGAAGUAAUGAAGGGUAAAUAGCAUAAGAAAGGGCGUCGUUAGCAGGCUAGACAGAUAUUGAAUGAAGAAAGAGAGUUCGACUUCCUCACCCGUUGAAGAAGCCGUGAUUGCUUGAGUUGAAUCAGUUGAGUUUGGUCCUAACGUAUAUAAGAGAGAGGUUUAGGUAUGAAAGAAGAUCUUAACUUUUAAUUUCAUAAGAGAAGAAAGAGAGGUAAAUGAGACUGGUAUGCCGGUUUCCAUCUUGUUUUUGUCGGGGGUUUUGGCAGAAUUGGGUUCGACUCCCAUAGUCCCGCGGCAUUCCCCCUGACCUCGAGAUAAAAUGAAAAAACGGACGAUAAACAGUUUGAUUGUUAAGGGUACCAUUAUUUCAUUAGUAAGGGAAUUUUUAUUGGAACGGGCUUCGAUUCCCUUUAUACGCGAUGUGGCGAAUCAGACUGAUUUAACGACGACGAGAUAUGCGAUUUAAAACUUGUCGUCUACUUUCAGGAAAUGUUCGGAACAGAGAACUUACAAUAAUACAACGCCGCGUUCUCCGAAGAUUGAGGAACAAGAAGAGAUCUAUUAAGAGAAAGAUUUCUCCGAGAAAAAAUAUGAACAGUUACAUCCAAUCACAAACUACACGAAAGUUGCCCCUUUUUCAUGCAGAUUUACCCAUCACAGAGAUGCACAGAGGAACAGAACGAACUUCAUAUAUCCCUUUUCUACUCAAUCCAGAAACAAGAUCGGACGUUAUUCCGGUUCGUCUCCAUUUUCGUGAAACUAUUCCUCAAGCAAGGCAGCCGAUAAGUCAUCGAAGGGUUUGUGUGAAUAAUCGAAUUGUAAGCAUUACUCGUUUGAAAGUUUCCCACGGUGAUCUAAUAUCUUUUCAAGAAAAUGACGCGAGAAUCCGCGGUGAAGAAAUAAGGAGAUCUUUCUAUAUCGAAAUAUCAGUUGAUAAAAUCAUAGGCAAAUUCCUGGAUCACCCGGUAAGAAUGUGGAGAAGAACCAAAACAGAAUGGUUCCACCUACUCAAAACUAAGCGGGGAUGCCGCCUACUACUAAAAUCCCGGUUUUUGCAACAACAGUUGCGUUAUUCUAUGCAAGAAGAAUACUUAGAAAGAACAAAGAAGUUUGGAUCCGAAAAAGUAUGCUUAGGCAGUUCCUUCGCUGAGCACAACAGAAUGAAGAGGAAUUUGUAUCAUUUCAAAUCCCUAUUCUUAUCGAAGAGAAGAAACGAGAAAAACCAAGAUCUUCCUACUCGAACAAGAAGUCCUAUAGUUUACAACUCUUCUUUAUAUAGUAAUUCGACCUAUUGCUCCUCAUCCCCCCAUCCGUUUCCUAGGAAGAGAAGAAUCAAAAGGAUCGAACUACCUACUCAUUAUUCGGAGGUGAAUCAUAGAACACCAAAAGCGGUGGUAUUUUAUGGACCUAACAUAGGUCACAUCCCUCACGACAUAAGAUUGAAAGAUCCAAACCUUCCUCUUCGGAGCGGAAACGGACGUGGCCAAAACAUAUAAAGAUCGGCGUAGUCGCUCAUAGGGACAUAUCGAUCCGGAUAGAGGAUAGUCUAGAUCGAUUCAUAGAUAGAUUUCUAUCCAUAUAGAAAAGAAAUGAAUUGAUCGCUAAUAGAAUAUUAAACAACAACGGAGCAGAGUAUACUAUUGAAACUCUCCAAAAGAACCUUGAAAAAUUAACAACCGAAGGCCAAAACUCUUUCUUUUUUAAAAAGCUUAUAAAAGAGAGACCUUCGAAUUAAACGGCCGAUUUGAUUAACAAGCUGCUCCUAUGCGCAAGAAGCAUUCCAAGAUUUUUUGAAUGAGAAACGCUGUUCCCAAAAGUCCCAUGUCUUUUUUGGCCAACAACCAACCACAAUCAAAACACUAAACACUAGUCCUACUCCAUCAGCUACAGGCUUUUCGGAGUGUCUGGAGGGCAGAGAAGCUUAGACCGCUGAAGGAACUUUCUUAUAGAGUAGGGAAAACAGUAAACUUAAUCAACUCCGUAUACGAAUAGAAACAAAAGAGAGACAAAACAGUCAAUGUUGAGUUGAGCCAUCGACAACUCUCGUGCAAGCACAAGGAGGAGUAGCCCGAUGCUUGUGAGUGACACGGAUAAGUGCACUUAUUAUUUAUAAAAUAAUAGAGAAAACGGCGAAUAGACCGAUUUGAAUCGAACACUCAACACCGGCGUGGCGUUUCCGUAUGUUUUUGAUCAAUAGAACAGGAAGAGGAGGAAAAAAAAGCUUAUGAUGAGCAUCUAUUUGAGUCGAUCAUUUCCAAGAUCUAAUUCCAGUUUAUUCUUAUGUAGUGGAAAGGCCUUACAAUCUGAAGUUUUACGCUUAGGGGAAGAAAUGUUCUUGGUGGAUGCAGGACCUGGGACCCCCAGAAUUUGUAUGCAAGAUGAGCCUACAGGAGUGCCAAUCAACCGAGCCACCAGGUUUGAGAAUAAGGUGGGAUCCCUGGAUCUAGUGGCCGGUGAAUCACUGAUCAAAAAGAAGAUUUUGGAGAGAUUCUUCAUCGAUCUAGUGGCCGGCGAAUCACUGAUCAAAGAGCGAGCAGCCGCCAGGUUUAAUGAUUUGGUGGGAUCCACAGAUGUAGUGGCUGGUGAACCGCUUCUUCUUCUUCCACGAAGAUUCAGACAAAACCUAGCUUGGAUGGAACUG
rnacentral:lncRNA from 1 species